GCUUGUCUCAAAGAUUAAGCCAUGCAUGUCUAAGUAUAAACAACUUUGUACUGUGAAACUGCGAAUGGCUCAUUAUAUCAGUUAUAGUCUACUCGAUAGUACCUUACUACUUGGAUAACCGUAGUAAUUCUAGAGCUAAUACAUGCGUAAAUACCCAACUGCUUGUCGGACGGGUAGCAUUUAUUAGAUUGAAACCAAUGCGGGGCAACCCGGAUUAUGGUGAUUCAUAAUAACUUUCAGAUCGAUCGCAAGAUCGAUGCAUCAUUCAAGUUUCUGCCCUAUCAGCUUUGGAUGGUAGGGUAUUGGCCUACCAUGGCUUUAACGGGUAACGGAGAAUUAGGGUUCGAUUCCGGAGAGGGAGCCUGAGAAAUGGCUACCACAUCCAAGGAAGGCAGCAGG
rnacentral:rRNA from 1 species